UACAGAGGUCUCAAGCGUUGUUCGGAUUCAUUGGGCGUAAAGGGUGCGUAGGUGGCCAGGUAAGUCGGAUGUGAAAUCCCGGGGCUCAACCCCGGAACUGCAUUCGAUACUGCUUGGCUGGAGUACUGGAGAGGAGAUUGGAAUUUACGGUGUAGCAGUGAAAUGCGCAGAUAUCAGGAGGAACACCCGUAGCGAAGGCGGCACUCUGGGCCGAUACUGACGCUGAGGAGCGAAAGCGUGGGGAGCGAACAGG
rnacentral:rRNA from 1 species